rnacentral:tRNA from 1 species
AUCUAUUUGGUGUCAAGCACAGAAGAUUUUGAUUCUUCAGGAGAACUAAUAUUCAUUAGAUA